rnacentral:misc_RNA from 1 species
GAUGAAGAACUUAGCGAAAUGCGAUAAGUAAUGUGAAUUGCAGAAUUCAGUGAAUCAUCGAAUCUUUGAACGCACCUUGCGCUCCUUGGUAUUCCGAGGAGCAUGCCUGUUUGAGUGUCAUUAAUAUAUCAACCUUCUCUUUUUUGAGUUGUUUGGAUGUGGGGGUUUGCUGGCCUCUUAAAUGAUUCAGCUCCCCUGAAAUGCAUUAGCAGAACAACCUGUUCAUUAGCGUGAUAAUUAUCUAUGCUAUUGAAUGUGAGGGCAGUUCAGCUUUCUAACCGUCCUUGGACAAUUCAUCAUUAAUGUGACCUCAAAUCAGGUAGGACUACCCGCUGAACUUAAGCAUAUCAAUAAGCGGAGGA